UUUCGGAGACGGGUGAAGGGCCCGCUUAAGGUAUUUAAGAUAGGUGAGGGGUGCUCGAGCAAAUGUUACUCAAAACGUCAUCCGAUUGGCAG